rfam:Phycomyces blakesleeanus NRRL 1555(-) unplaced genomic scaffold PHYBLscaffold_12, whole genome shotgun sequence.
AAAAAGGCUUUACUAUGAAGCCACACAUAUUCACUAUGGAAAAUAA